GGAUGUGAGGGCAACCUGGCUGGGACGUCUGUCAUCCCAUUGAGCGCCAGGGUUGACUCGGCUGAUCUGGCUGGCCAGGCGGGUGUCCCCUUUCCCCUUCACCGCUCCACGCACGUCCCUCCCAAAGCUGCAGGCUCCGGGGAAGAGGACGACCUUCCCCGAAUAGAGGAGGCCCGGUCUUCGGUCAGGGGGAUACGAGCAGCUGCGCUCCCCUGCUCGAGCCCCGGAACAAGCUCUCAAGAAAGGAGAAGAGAGCUGGCUGAGCAGCGGCGUGCAUCAGUGGCUCUGGUCAGCUUCUUCAU
rnacentral:snRNA from 1 species